UACGGAGGGGGCAAGCGUUGUUCGGAAUUACUGGGCGUAAAGCGCACGUAGGCGGCUUUCUAAGUCGGGGGUGAAAUCCUGGAGCUCAACUCCAGAACUGCCUUCGAUACUGGAAAGCUCGAGUCCGGGAGAGGUGAGUGGAACUGCGAGUGUAGAGGUGAAAUUCGUAGAUAUUCGCAAGAACACCAGUGGCGAAGGCGGCUCACUGGCCCGGUACUGACGCUGAGGUGCGAAAGCGUGGGGAGCAAACAGG
rnacentral:rRNA from 1 species